rnacentral:tRNA from 1 species
GCGCGGGUGGUGGAAUGGCAGACACGCUACUUUGAGGGGGUAGUGGGGCGACUCGUGAGGGUUCAACUCCCUCCCCGCGCA